UACGUAGGGUGCGAGCGUUGUCCGGAAUUAUUGGGCGUAAAGGGCUCGUAGGCGGUCUGUCACGUCGGGAGUGAAAACACGGGGCUUAACCCCGUGCCUGCUUCCGAUACGGGCAGACUAGAGGUAUGCAGGGGAGAACGGAAUUCCUGGUGUAGCGGUGAAAUGCGCGAUAUCAGGAGGAACACCGGUGGCGAAGGCGGGUCUCUGGGCCGUAACUGACGCUGAGGAGCGAAAGCGUGGGGAGCGAACAGG
rnacentral:rRNA from 1 species